AUUUAGAAAGAAAUAAAAUUUAGUAUAUAUAUAUAUUAAAUAAAUAUCUAAAUUUAAGUAUGUCAUUUACGAUGAUAAGAUGUUUUUAACUUUAUUUAAA
rnacentral:tRNA from 1 species